rnacentral:rRNA from 3 species
AGACCCGAAACCCGGUGAUCUAGCCAUGGGCAGGUUGAAGGUUGGGUAACACUAACUGGAGGACCGAACCGACUAAUGUUGAAAAAUUAGCGGAUGACCUGUGGCUGGGGGUGAAAGGCCAAUCAAACCGGGAGAUAGCUGGUUCUCCCCGAAAGCUAUUUAGGUAGCGCCUCGUGAAUUCAUCUCCGGGGGUAGAGCACUGUUUCGGCUAGGGGGCCAUCCCGGCUUACCAACCCGAUGCAAACUGCGAAUACCGGAGAAUGUUAUCACGGGAGACACACGGCGGGUGCUAACGUCCGUCGUGAAGAGGGAAACAACCCAGACCGCCAGCUAAGGUCCCAAAGUCAUGGUUAAGUGGGAAACGAUGUGGGAAGGCCCAGACAGCCAGGAUGUUGGCUUAGAAGCAGCCAUCAUUUAAAGAAAGCGUAAUAGCUCACUGGUCGAGUCGGCCUGCGCGGAAGAUGUAACGGGGCUAAACCAUGCACCGAAGCUGCGGCAGCGACACUGUGUGUUGUUGGGUAGGGGAGCGUUCUGUAAGCCUGUGAAGGUG